rnacentral:tRNA from 1 species
AAGCUCAUAAAAGUGUUCUCAAUUACGAAGGUACUAAAAGAUCUAAUAAGUGUUCCGCCCGGUAAAGGUAGA